rnacentral:misc_RNA from 1 species
AAGUCGUAACAAGGUAUCCGUAGGUGAACCUGCGGAUGGAUCAUUACAAAAUUUUACCGCUUUAUUGCGCGUAACUUUUAACCACAUGUGUACCUCGUGUUUGUGAGUGUUUUGCUCUUUGGCAGUCUGACUGUCAUUCGCACGCCCGCGAACGCGCCAUUACAACUUUUAAACUGAAAUCAUGACAAUAUCAAUUGGCAUAAAACUUUUAACAACGGAUCUCUUGGCUCUC